GAUGAACGCUGGCGGCGUGCCUAAUACAUGCAAGUCGAGCGAACAGACGAGGAGCUUGCUCCUCUGACGUUAGCGGCGGACGGGUGAGUAACACGUGGAUAACCUACCUAUAAGACUGGGAUAACUUCGGGAAACCGGAGUUAAUACCGGAUAAUAUAUUGAACCGCAUGGUUCAAUAGUGAAAGACGGUUUUGCUGUCACUUAUAGAUGGAUCCGCGCCGCAUUAGCUAGUUGGUAAGGUAACGGCUUACCAAGGCAACGAUGCGUAGCCGACCUGAGAGGGUGAUCGGCCACACUGGAACUGAGACACGGUCCAGACUCCUACGGGAGGCAGCAGUAGGGAAUCUUCCGCAAUGGGCGAAAGCCUGACGGAGCAACGCCGCGUGAGUGAUGAAGGUCUUCGGAUCGUAAAACUCUGUUAUUAGGGAAGAACAAAUGUGUAAGUAACUAUGCAUGUCUUGACGGUACCUAAUCAGAAAGCCACGGCUAACUACGUG
rnacentral:rRNA from 1 species